rnacentral:rRNA from 1 species
GUGGAGAAUUUUGGACAAUGGGCGCAAGCCUGAUCCAGCAAUGCCGCGUGCAGGAAGAAGGCCUUCGGGUUGUAAACUGCUUUUGUACGGAACGAAACGGUCCUGGCUAAUACCCGGGGCUAAUGACGGUACCGUAAGAAUAAGCACCGGCUAACUACGUGCCAGCAGCCGCGGUAAUACGUAGGGUGCGAGCGUUAAUCGGAAUUACUGGGCGUAAAGCGUGCGCAGGCGGUGCUGUAAGACAGGCGUGAAAUCCCCGGGCUCAACCUGGGAAUUGCGCUUGUGACUGCAGUGCUGGAGUGCGGCAGAGGGGGAUGGAAUUCCGCGUGUAGCAGUGAAAUGCGUAGAUAUGCGGAGGAACACCGAUGGCGAAGGCAAUCCCCUGGGCCUGCACUGACGCUCAUGCACGAAAGCGUGGGGAGCAAACAGGAUUAGAUACCCUUGUAGUCC